UACGGGGGGGGCAAGCGUUGUUCGGAAUUACUGGGCGUAAAGGGCUCGUAGGCGGCCCACUAAGUCCGACGUGAAAUCCCCAGGCUUAACUUGGGAACUGCGUCGGGUACUGGUGGGCUUGAAUCCGGGAGAGGGAUGCGGAAUUCCAGGUGUAGCGGUGAAAUGCGUAGAUAUCUGGAGGAACACCGGUGGCGAAGGCGGCAUCCUGGACCGGCAUUGACGCUGAGUGAGCGAAAGCCAGGGAGCAAAGCGGG
rnacentral:rRNA from 1 species